rnacentral:rRNA from 1 species
CAGCGCCGCGGUAAUACAGAGGAUGCAAGCGUUAUCCGGAAUGAUUGGGCGUAAAGCGUCUGUAGGUGGCUUUUCAAGUCCGCCGUCAAAUCCCCGGGCUCAACCCUGGACAGGCAGUGGAAACUACCAAGCUGGAGUAUAGUAGGGGCAGAGUGAAUUUCCGGUGGAGCGAUGAAAUGCGUUGAGAUCAGAAAGAACACCAACGGCGAAAGCACUCUGCUGGGCCGACACUGACACUGAGAGACGAAAGCUAGGGGAGCAAAUGGGAUUAGAUACCCCCGUAGUCCCUGUCUCUUAUACA